rnacentral:rRNA from 1 species
AGUGAACGCUGGCGGCGUGCCUAAUACAUGCAAGUCGAACGGAGUGGCGCACGGGUGAGUAAUGUAUAGCUAAUCUGUCCUACACUAGAGGACAACAGUUGGAAACGAAUGCUAAUACUCUAUAGUGUAGGAUGAGGCUAUAUUGUAUCAACUAGUUGGUGAGGUAAUGGCUCACCAAGGCUAUGACGGAUAACUGGUCUGAGAGGAUGAUCAGUCACGCUAGAACUGAGACACGGUCCAGACUCCUACCGGAUGCAGCAGUAUGGUAUAUUGCUCAAUGGGCAGAACCCUGAAGCAGCUACGACGCGUGGAGGAUGACACUUUUCGGAGCGUAAACUCCUUUUGUUAGGGAAGCGGUACCUAACGAAUAAGCACCGGCGAACUCCGUGCCAGCCGCCGCGGUAAUAC